UUUUAAUGCAGUCUUGCCCGGACCAACAUUGACGUAUCGUAGCAACGGCUAAAAGCGGCCAAUCAGGCGUCUAGGUUACGGUUGGUCUCGCCUCGCGGUAGUGACGUCAUCACUCGCGCGCUUCAGUUUGGCGGUUUUCUGAGAUCUGAUGGAGGAGAAUGAGGCGAGUGAAGAGAAGAAACAUCAUCUUGGCAAAACCAGCGAAAAAACUCGCUCGCAGACUGGAAGAGUUUCUUUACCGAAAAAAAGAAACAAGAAGAGUUUCCCCUGCACUCAGUGUGGACAGAGUUUGGCAAAUAAAUUUACUCUCAGUGUUCACAUGAGGAUCCAUACUGGAGAGAAACCGUUCACAUGUGAUCAGUGUGAGAAGAGCUUCGCAGAUUUAUCAAGCCUGAAGAAACACGUGAACAUCCACACCAGAGAGAAACUGCACCCAUGUGAUCAGUGUGGAAAAACAUUUGUAAGAGCUUCACACCUGAAGAAUCACCUGAAAGUUCAUUCAAAGGAGAAACCACAUUCAUGUUCUUUGUGUGGAAAGAGUUUUCAGACCUGGGGAAUUUAAAAGUUCAUCAGAAGAUACACACUGGUGUGAGAGAUCAUAUGUGCUUUGAGUGUGAGAAGACUUUUUUUACAGCUCAACAUUUGAAACGGCACCAGAGGAUCCACACUGGAGAGAAACCUUACAAGUGUGAUCAUAGCGGGAAGAGUUUCACACACAACGGAAAUUUUAAGAAACAUGUGAACAUCCACACUGGAGAGAAGCUGCACCCAUGUGAUCAGUGUGGAAAAACAUUUGUAAGAGAUUCACACCUGAAGAAUCACCUGAAAGUUCAUUCAAAGGAGAAACCGCAUUCAUGUUCUUUGUGUGGAAAGAGUUUUUCACAUAUGCAAAGUUUAAAACUACAUCAGAAGAUACAUAAUGGUGUGAGAGAGUAUAUGUGCUUUGAGUGUGAGAAGACUUUUAUUACAGCUAAAGAUUUGAAACUGCACCAGAAGAUUCACACUGUUUCAGUCAAACAUCUACCACACAAACAUACAAAAAACAUUCACAAUAUUUGUGUACACAUGACGAAGAAAAGUCCACAGUCAUCCAACGAUCAAGACUUCAAGACGAGCGGUUUGAGAAACUGUGAGAUUCACAUCAUCUCAAAGAUGAAGUUUCUCGCCAAAAAACAUCUAAAUAUUUUAUUCUUGUACACCAGUUUGCUUCAUAAUCUAUUUCAUUAUGCUUUAUCAUUUUGUUUCAUAAAAUUAAUUUACUUUUAUGAAAAAUAUAUACUUUUUUGUAAUGUAGACUACAAAAUGACCUGAAGAAGCAGAAGCUAAAGGUAAUUUUUGCUUCUUUUCUUCUGUUGAGAUGUUCUGGUUUGCUUGUAAAUCAAUAAAGAGAGAGAUCAGUCUCAUUCAUUUUCAAGUCAUUACAGGAAUGUGAAGCACAAACACACCUGUUUUCUC